GACGAACGCUGGCGGUGUGCUUAACACAUGCAAGUCGAACGGAAAGGCCCUGCUUUUGUGGGGUGCUCGAGUGGCGAACGGGUGAGUAACACGUGAGUAACUUGCCCUUGACUUUGGGAUAACUUCAGGUAACUGGGGCUAAUACCGUAUAGGAGCUCCUGCUGCAUGGUGGGGGUUGGAAAGUUUCGGCGGUCGGGGAUGGACUCGCGGCUAAUCAGCUUGUUGGUGGGGUAGUGGCUUACCAAGGCUUUGACGGGUAGCCGGCAUGAGAGGGUGACCGGCCACAUUGGUACUAAGAUACGGCCCAGUGUCCUACGGGAGGCAACAGUGGGGAAUAUUACACAAUGGGAGGAAGUCUGAGGCAGCGGCGCCGCGUGCGGGAUGACGGCCUUCUGGUUGUAAACCGCUUUCGCCUGUGACGAAGCGUGAGUGACGGUAAUGGGUAAAGAAGCACCGGCUAACUACGUG
rnacentral:rRNA from 1 species